rnacentral:rRNA from 1 species
UGGUAUCUUUGUCACGUAGUCAUUCUUACUAAAGAUAACCUUAUUAAGAGGAAUUAGUACGGAAAUACGCAAUGUGUCUUUUGUCACCAUAAUGAAACAAUAAAACACUUAUUCUUCCAAAGCAAAUUGGCUCGUUCUAUAUGGUGAGUCAUCCAGAUAGCUUCUGGCAUGUAUUCUUCUUGUAGUGUUGCUAAUGUAUUUGGCAACUGGUUACAUGGAAUUGAUCACAACUUUAGAAUUCUUCUUAGGGUAGAAGCGCUUGCCGUUAUUUGGUCGCUUUGGCUAUGUAGAAAUGAUAAGGUUUUUACCGAUAAACGUACUUCUCUCAUGCAGGUUAUCUACAGAUGUACCGGGACUCUUCGUUGA